ACUUCAUGGGAUGAUAAAUUUCUUGAAUUUCCACAAAUUAGGAUACUUAUUUUUUCUUUUAUUGGUUAGGUUGAUGCUUAGUUUUGAUAAUUUGAUCAUGGUGAUUCAGUAUACUGCAGCAUCCUUUGUAUGAGCCUCUCCAGAGGACAUGUUAAACAAGAGAAGCUUAAUAAAAUUCAUCAUCAAUAUGGUUUUUACUGAGUUUUAUUACUCCUAGAGUACUAGUAGCUUAGUGAGUUUAACAGUGGCAAAGCCAAGAAUUUCACCUAAAGUGUCCAAUAUAUAUACACAGUAUAAUUUUCCAACAUGCUACUGGCGUAAAGUGAGUUUUAACUUUGUUAUAUUGAUGUCUAAGAAAUUGUUACUGACAUGCACUGGGAGUCAGAAGUUUUUUAAGCCUUCUGGGAUGUAAUGAUUGCAUUUCAAUGGAUUCACUUUCUGAGCUUGUGGGGUUCAUUUAUUUUGAUGUUAUAUGGUGGAUGGUGAGACCUACUGUAUUCAUUCAUAUUUUUCUCUUAGACAUAUACAGCUGUGCUUUCUGGAUAAGGAAAAAAGAAGCAUUAUGGGCAUAGUCUAUUAUUAAAUAAAAUGGUAGCAAAUGAUUAGGCACCUUGAGGAUUGUUCCUUCCCAAAGUUGUUUUUGUGUGCAUCAACCAAUUGGUUUUUAAGGGAAGAAACAAUAGGAGGAGUUGUUAAUGAUAAAUGGUUUGAACUUUUUAAUGACUACUUCUUUCACAGGUUCAACGUCUUGCCGCGACCUCCAGAUGCACCGGUUAGUAGGUGUGACACCAUGGUGACCAAGGUGUUAAAAGGAGACGAGAUAGACCUAGAGAAGUUGUCUCGAACGACCUAUAAUUUCUUGAAAUCAGUGCAGACUUGGUUAAAGAUAGGACACAAUGUAGUAUCAAGACUCAUAUUGGCCAUAUCUACUAGUUGGAAAUAGGGUACAAGCAAAGGACCAAAUCAGAAGGUACCCGUACUUUCUUUUGCGACAUUGAAUCUCGCAGACUUUGCUUCAGUAGCUGGAGAUAAACAAGAGGGCAUUGAAAUUUUCGUUCCUUUGGAAGUCUCUGUUGGCAGCUUCAAGAAUUGCCUUUCACUCUGUCUAAUGCUCAACCUUGUGGAAUUGAGGAACGCUCACGAAGCUUCAGAGACAUUUCCGAAGUUUAUCAUGUCUGCUCCAGUAUCUCCGAACCCUGGAAAGGCUUUGUUGAUAGACAGCCAAAAGUGAGGAUCCCAAUUAUGUUUAUCCUGUGGAUACAGAUUUACUUGAUGAGGAUUCGGUACGAGAAUCUGAGGAAGGAAAAGAGGAUACAAGUGUUUAGAAGUCAUUUAGUUAUGAAGCACCCGUCUAUGCAAACCAUGCUGGUGGAUCAUUUUGUUCAAAUACAAGCGGUAGUAGCAGUGACGAGGAUUUAGUCCACUACAUCCAUCAUAUUUCAGACACAAAGCACAAGUACCCUAAGGAUAGAACUGCAGCAAAUCAAUCUGUAGAGCAGAGUUCAAAACGUAGUCUUCUUUCCUGGAGGAAGAGGAAGUUGAGUUUCAAAUAUCCUAAAACCAAGGGGGAGCCAUUGUUGAAGAAACAUUAUGGAGAGGAUGGUGGAGACGAUAUAGACUUUGAUCGCCGACAGCUUUGCCCAUCUGACGAGUCUUCUU